UACGGGGGGAGCAAGCGUUGUUCGGAUUUACUGGGGGUAAAGGGCGCGUAGGCGGUCAGCACAAGUCAGUUGUGAAAUCUCCGGGCUUAACUCGGAAAGGUCAACUGAUACUGUGCGACUAGAGUGCAGAAGGGGCAACUGGAAUUCUCGGUGUAGCGGUGAAAUGCGUAGAUAUCGAGAGGAACACCUGCGGCGAAGGCGGGUUGCUGGGCUGACACUGACGCUGAUGCGCGAAAGCCAGGGGAGCGAACGGG
rnacentral:rRNA from 1 species